AUACGGAGGACGCGAGCGUUAUCCGGAUUCAUUGGGUUUAAAGGGUGCGCAGGCGGCCGUGCAAGUCAGCGGUGAAAGCCCGGGGCCCAACCCCGGAAGUGCCGUUGAUACUGCAUGGCUUGAAUGCGGUCGAGGCGGGCGGAACGUGGCGGGUAGCGGGGAAAUGCGUAGAUAUGCCACAGAACGCCGAUAGCGGAGGCAGCUCGCCAGGCCUGCAUUGACGCUCGGGCACGAAAGCGUGGGGAUCGAACAGGAUUAGAUACCCUGGUAGUCCACGCCGUAAACGAUGGGCGCUCGUCGUCGGCGGCAGACAGUCGGCGGCCAAGCGAAAGCGAUAAGCGCCCCACCUGGGGAGUACGGUCGCAAGGCUGAAACUCAAAUGAAUUGACGGGG
rnacentral:rRNA from 1 species